UAAGGAAUUUUCCACAAUGGGCGCAAGCCUGAUGGAGCAAUACCGCGUGAAGGAUGAAUGUCUUCGGAUUGUAAACUUCUUUUAAAUGGGAAGAUUAUGACGGUACCAUUUGAAUAAGCAUCGGCUAACUACGUGCCAGCAGCCGCGGUGAUACGUAGGAUGCAAGCGUUAUCCGGAAUUAUUGGGCGUAAAGAGUGUGUAGGCGGUAUGUUAAGUUAUGUGUUAAAUCUCAGGGCUCAACUCUGAAGCUGCAUAUAAUACUGGCAUACUUGAGGUUGUGAGAGGUAAGCGGAAUUAGUGGAGUAGCGGUGAAAUGCGUAGAUAUCACUAAGAACACCAAUGGCGAAGGCAGCUUACUGGCACAAUCCUGACGCUGAGACACGAAAGCGUGGGGAGCGAACA
rnacentral:rRNA from 1 species